AGGCCGCGCGGACUCGGGGCGGUCCCGGGGCCUGGGCGUCUGGCGUCACCCCGCUUGGAGUGGGAGCUGGGCCGGCCGGGGUCGCCGUCCGAGGCCGGUCGUGGGGAUUUCGAGCACUGCGAACACGGCGCCGUCCGCGCCGCCCUCCGUCCUCGGUCACACACGGCCCUGUGAGUUUCCCUUCCGGACUCCCACCGUCGCCGGGAACGAACGGAGGCGCCGGCUGCGGCCCCGCAGGGUGCCCCGACCGCGGCUCCCGAGAGGCCCCUCGCCAGCAGCCGCCCGCGCCGCGGAGGGCUCGGCCCGACUCCCUGCUCCACCUCGGGGCGCAGUGGCAGCCAGGUUCCGGGGCUCCUCCGUCCGCGUCCUCUUCAGCCUCGUUCGAAUGUGACAGCAGCUGGGUCAUGUUGUCCAAACGUACCAGGAGCCCCAGAUCCUCCCUGCAGCGCGUGCCCCAGCGCGCCCGGUGGCCCAGGAGCCCCUGCACCCCCGCAGCCGUCCUGUCCCGCCUCCUUCCAGCUCCCAAAAGGGACCGCAGAUGGGGACUGCCGGAGUCCGGGCCUGGGGCAACACCCAGCCUGAGACGGGCAGGCCCUGGGCUCGGGCGGGCAUGGAUCUGGCCUCAGCAGGGCCCCAGGAGUCAGGUUGACUCAGCCCCUCACUCCUGCCACCCUCUGCAGUGAUGGGGGGCUUCCUCCCCAUGGUCACUCCCAGAGGUCCCAGCUCGGUGCCCAAUCAAGGCCUGACCCCGUGGUCCCCAGGGGCUGCUGGAGAGGCCGCAGGGCAGGAGAGACAGACCCUUAGAAGUAUGAUGGGGGCCGGGCCCUAGGUAGCUCACACAUGUAAUCCCAACAUUUUGGGAGGCAGAGGCAGGCGGAUCACUUGAGGUCAGGAGUUUAAGACCAGCCUGGCCAACAUGGCGAACUCCCCACCCACAACUCUACAAAAAAAUACAAAAAUUAGCCGGGCGUGGUGGCACAUGCCUGUAAUCCCAGUAACUUGGGAAACUGAGGAAGGAGAAUUGCUUGUGAUUGAGAGGCGAGGUUGCAGUGAGCCCAUGUCGCGCUCGCCACUGCACUCUAGCCUGAGCAACAUAGGGAGACCAUCUCAAAAAAAAGGCCGGGCGCGGUGGCUCACGCCUGUAAUCCCAGCACUUUGGGAGGCCAAGGUGGGCGGAUCAUGAGGUCAGGACAUCGAGACCAUCCUGUGAAUGGUGAAACCCCGUCUCUACUAAAAAUACAAAAAAAUUAGCCGGGCAUAGUGGCGGGUGCCUGCAGUCCCAGCUACUCGGGAGGCUGAGGCGGGAGAAUGGCGUGAACCCGGGAGGCGGAGCUUGGAGUGAGCCGAGAUCGCGCCACUGCACUCCAGCCUGGGCGACAGGGCAAGACUCCGUCUCAAAAAACAAAAAAAAGUCUGGUGGACAGGCUGGGCCUACCCCCAGGGGACCCCAGGGCAAGCCUGGGCAGAGCUCCAGGAGGCGUGCAGCAGCGCCCAGCCAGUCUCAGAUGUGCGUCAGCCACAGGCUCCAGGGGCCACGUGCCUGGCCACACCUGCUGGUUUCCAAAACACCCAGCACCUGCAGGCCCAGCCUCCCCAGGAGGGGCAGCACCCCUGCUUGAGGACUCCUGGUUCCACCCAAAUCCCUGCUGCUUGGGGUCCUCUUCCACCCCUGGGCAGCCCCCAUGCCCUCAGGCCUCCCAGACCACCACCUUGGCCUGUGCCCCCUCCAGGACCUCACUGGUCCCCAUGCCGUACCCCACCCCUUAUUGCCUCCUCCAAGCAAACCUUGCAUCAGCUCCCAGGAGACACACGCUGGAGCAUGCUGGAGCCUCAGGACAGCAUUCUAGACAAACAGCCUCAGGCCCCAGGGGCAGUCCCAGGAGAAGGCCGUGGCUUUGGGAAAACAGGUGAUGAAUGCUAAUGGCCUUUUUGGCAAGAAUGGAAAAGCUGAUCCUCAAAUUCAUGUGGAAUUGCAAGGGCCCUGAAUAAUCAGAACAAUCUUGAAAACAAAGAACAAGGCCAGGCACGGUGGAUCACUCUUGUCAUCCCACCACAGUGAGAGGUUGAAGUGGGAGGAUCUCUUGAGCCCAGGAGUUCGAGACCAGCCUGGGCACCAUAGGGAUACCCUCUGUCUACAAACAAAACAUUAAAAAAAAAUUAGCUGGG